GGGCCGGCUAUAGCCCAGCGGUUCCUUCGGUCUUUCCUAACUCACGUUCCUGUGCCCAGCAGGGGUUUGAUCCCACGGGCACUCCCAGCCCAUUU
rnacentral:vault_RNA from 1 species